CUGUUACAAAUCUACUCCAAGCCAACACGUUACAGUCCUGAAACAGAAAAGAAAUGAAUUUAUCUCCUGUUCCUCUUUCUCUCUCUACUUCAUCAUCUCCUUCUCUGCAACUUCUCCGGCACCGGAACUUUCUCUCUCUAAAAUUCCGCUCGCCGUCGUCACCUCCGUCUACUUGUGUAGUAUCUUGUUCGAAAGCGGACGUUGUGGUUACACGAGAGCGCGGAAAGAACGCCAAGCUCAUCAACGCUCUGGCAAAACAUGGUGUCAACUGUCUAGAGCUUCCCCUCAUUCAACAUAAGCACUUGCCUGAUUUGGAAAGGCUAUCUUUUGUAUUGAGAGAUACGACUUUUGAUUGGAUUGUUAUUACUUCUCCUGAAGCCGGUCUAGUCUUCCUUGAAGCUUGGAAUGCUGCUGGUAACCCGAAUGUGAAGAUAUGUGUUGUUGGAAAUGGUACAGCAAGCAUAUUUAAUAAUGUGACACGCUCGUCAAAGCAGAUGCUUGACAUAGCAUUUGCUCCUUCAAAAGCAACUGGUAAAGUUUUAGCUUCAGAGCUUCCACAUACUGGAAACAAAAAGUGCACCGUCUUGUAUCCUGCAUCUGCAAAAGCUAGCAGUGAUAUUGAGGAAGGCCUUUCUAACCGUGGAUUUGAGGUCAUGAGGCUGAAUACAUACACAACAGUACCUGUUGAUCAUGUUGAUCCAACUACUUUUCAGCAGGCACUUUGUUCUCCUGUUAUUGCUGUGGCAUCACCUUCUUCAAUUCGUGCUUGGGUUAAUCUUGUCCCAGAUCUAGAAAGGUGGACUUACUCUGUUGCCUGCAUUGGAGAGACAACUGCUUUGGCUGCGGAAAAAAUGGGUCUGCAAAAUGUUUACCAUCCGACUAAUCCUGGCCUUGAGGGAUGGGUCGAUAGCAUCCUUGAAGCUUUAAGAGUCCAUGAUAGAUUCCAAAAGGUUUAAGACUUUGCAUAAUGACAUCCUUUUAGUUUCUCCUAGGUAGCUGUGUAAAUUUGUAGACAUUUAAGGAGUUCAAACAGAAAAAGUGAUUUGUGGAGCUAGUUGUUGUAUCGAAGUAGGCAUGUCAUGUACAGAAGGCGGAGGAGCUCUGAAGGAGCUGCAGGGCAAGGAAACAUGGCAUCCUUCUCCUUGGCUUCCAUGCAUUUACUAGUGGAGGCAAGGGGGGAUAGCUGAUGGGUUGAUGCCCAGCACACCCAUCGCUGCUACCAUCACACGUCUUGGGAGGCAUGAACUCUUGAUAACACAAGAUUUUGCUAAAAGUAUGCUGCAGUAUAUGUUAGGUGCAAUGCAAUUGAAGUGUAAUAAUUCCUGCAGUGAAUUUAUGACCAACUUCUUACAAAAAUUGUUAUCAUCUUUACUUGCACCGACUUGCCGAGUAUGGAAAGGGUACAUAUAAUUACAGAAAUAGUACCCAGAUAAAUUGUCAUAUAAAUACCUCUAGUUGAUGUAUACUCCGUCAAGUAGGAUGUGGUAUGAUAAUACAAAUAACAGUUGAGAUAGCUGGCAAUGCUAAGAUCCGAUGUACAGUGAGAACUUGACUUAUCUGUACGUUAUUGUUUUUUUC